rnacentral:rRNA from 1 species
GCGAUUCCCUGAGUAGUGGCGAGCGAAAAGGGAACAGCCCAGCGCACAAUCUCCCGGUCUACCAAGGCCGCGGCGAAAUUUUGCGUAUAAGGAAAGGUCGUUUACAGCCUCGUGCACCCGUCUGAUGCGCCUAACCGUGAUCUGAAAUGUUCACGCACGUUGGGUGCUUUAUCUUUCGGGGUAAACGCUCAAUACACGGUUCCRUGGAGGGUGCAAGCCCCGUAUGGCCGCGUGAGUGUGCACUAAGGCUAGGCCUCUUUUCCUUGAGAGUCGCGUUGUUUGAACAUACAGCGCUAAGUAGGAGGUAAACUCCUCCUAAGGCUAAAUACGUCCACRGCACCGAUAGAAAACAAGUACCGCGAGGGAAAGUUGAAAAGAACUUUGAAGAGAGAGUUCAGUCAUAGCUGUUUCC